AACGAACGUUGGCGGCACGCUUAACACAUGCAAGUCGAACGAGAAACCCGAGCUUGCUCGGGUGGACAGUGGCAGACGGCUUAGUAACGCGUGGGUAUCUACCUAGAGGUUUGGAACAACUAUUGGAAACGAUAGCUAAUACCAAAUAUUCCCUAAGGGGGAAAGAUUUAUCGCCUUUAGAUGAGCCCGCGUCGGAUUAGCUUGUUGGUAGGGUAAAGGCCUACCAAGGCAACGAUCCGUAGCUGGUCUGAGAGGAUGAUCAGCAAGAUUGGGACUGAGACACGGCCCAGACUCCUACGGGAGGCAGCAGUGGGGAAUAUUGCGCAAUGGGGGAAACCCUGACGCAGCGAUGCCGCGUGAGUGAAGAAGGCCUUAGGGUUGUAAAACUCUUUCGCAGGGA
rnacentral:rRNA from 1 species